rnacentral:rRNA from 1 species
AACGAACGCUUGCGGCGCGCCUAAUACAUGCAAGUCGAACGAGGUAGCAAUACCUAGUGGCGCACGGGUGAGUAACGCGUGGAUAAUCUGCCCUUCAGUGGGGAAUAACCAUCCGAAAGGAUGGCUAAUACCGCAUGAGGCCACAGUUCCUGCGGGAACAGAGGUUAAAGAUUUAUCGCUGAAGGAUGAGUCUGCGUGGGAUUAGCUAGUUGGUGGGUAACGGCCUACCAAGGCGACGAUCUCUAACUGGUCUGAGAGGAUGACCAGUCACACUGGAACUGAGACACGGUCCAGACUCCUACGGGAGGCAGCAGUAGGGAAUAUUGCGCAAUGGGGGAAACCCUGACGCAGCGACGCCGCGUGAGUGAUGAAGGCCUUAGGGUCGUAAAGCUCUGUUGUACGGGAAGAACAAAUGACGGUACCGUAUAAGAAAGGACCGGCUAACUUCGUGCCAGCAGCCG